GCCAGUGUGGCAUAACAGUUUGAGUGUUGGACUACGACUCUAUAGAUCUGGGUUCGAUUCCCAGCUCAACCA